rnacentral:rRNA from 1 species
GAGCGAACGUUAGCGGCACGCCUAACACAUGCAAGUCGCACGAGAAAGGGAGCAAUCCUGAGUAGAGUGGCGCACGGGUGCGUAACACGUAGAUAACCUGCCCUUUGGAGGGGGAUAACGUUCCGAAGGGAGCGCUAAUACCGCAUAAUGCCUUUUCCGGUUUGCCGGAGAUUGACAAAGGUAGGGACCCGCAAGGGCCUACCGCCAGAGGAGGGGUCUGCGGCCCAUCAGCUAGUUGGGGAGUAAGGCUCACCAAGGCAGAGACGGGUAGCUGGUCUGAGAGGAUGAUCAGCCACACUGGUACUGGAACACGGACCAGACUCCUACGGGAGGCAGCAGGUGGGGAAUCGUUGGUCAAUGGGCGCAAGCCUGAACCAGCGAUGCCGCGUGAGUGAUGAAGG